rnacentral:rRNA from 1 species
UACAGAGGUCUCAAGCGUUGUUCGGAUUCAUUGGGCGUAAAGGGUGCGUAGGUGGCGCUGUAAGUCGGGUGUGAAAUUUCGGAGCUUAACUCCGAAACUGCAUUCGAUACUGCGGUGCUUGAGGACUGGAGAGGAGACUGGAAUUCAUGGUGUAGCAGUGAAAUGCGUAGAGAUCAUGAGGAAGACCAGUGGCGAAGGCGGGUCUCUGGACAGUUCCUGACACUGAGAAGCGAAAGCGUGGGUAGCGAACAGG